UCACACCUGAUGCUAAUGCGACACUAGAUUGUAUCCCCCCAUCGUGGCAUGGUUACAAAAAAGGCAGUUCAAUCCAAGUUCAGUCCGAGAACACGGUAAUAGACACAUUCGCAAAUGCAGUUCACGGGUAGGUCACAAAAGGCAUAGUUGCUUCGAGGGAUCUCACCUGUAAACAAGGGAAGUAAGACACCGAGAAUCAGGCCGAAUAAGAGAGAGUUAUUCCCCAUCUUGUGGUGGGAUUCAGAGGAUCGAAAGAUCAGUGUAAUAAAUGUCCAAGGAUGGUGCGAUUUGAAGAACAAAGAAACUGAGAAUGCAACAGCUCGAUGAGCAUUAGCCGGUCUGUCACUUUGUGAAGUGGGCGUUUACUCCAGAAGUCUGAUUUGGGGGCUGGAGGACAAAAGACAAGAGCGAGUUUUAUUUAUUUAUUUAUUUAGAUUUAUAUUUAGAUAAAUUUAUGUAUGCGACUUGCAGUGUUACUUUCUCUCUGCUGAUUAUCUGCACUAUAUGACAGUAAUCAUUACAAUAAGAACAUAUUGAUUUAAUUACACUUGAUGUCUAAGUAAAUAGGUCUUGAUAACCCAGAGGAAAAAUAGCAAUGAAAGAUCAGGUGUUGUUUUCUUGAUUUAUAAACGGGUGCAUGUACCUGCUUGUAAUAAUCAGAAGCGAUAGUAUUAAAAACAUUAAGGUCUGUAAUUUUUUUGUUGAUGUUUAGAAAAAAAAUGCCACAUGAUAGUUAUUAAACUUCAAUGUUUAACGGGAAUAAGAAGAUAUGUUGAAAUCCAAGAAAUGCAGUAGACAUGUCAGAUUAUUUUUAAAAAUAAGCCAGAGUCACUGUUCUAGAAACCAAGAACAUUGUUUAAAAAGAAAUAUGAGCCUUUUCUGUGUUUAAGCGUCUGGGUUUUGAUUCAGAGUGGUUUAAGGAAAUAAAAAUGUACUGCAGUGUGAUAUAUCUUUUAUAUAGUUUAUCUUACCAACACUGUUUUUGUACCAAUAGAAAAGCUGGUGCUCAGAGGAAGAGGGCGGGCUUUACUUGGUGUCAGUGACAGAAAUGAAAAAAAGCUCAAAUGAGUGAGAAGGACGAUGAAGGAAACAUCUGUGCUGUGUCUGCUCUACCUUGGUGGAUCUGCAGGGAGAACUGAGGAUGUCAGUUAUGGACGAAUCAUCAACAAGUCAUCAAGAGAGAGAAGAGAAACAGUCAAAGAAAACCACAGACUCGACAAAGAGGGCGGUCUGUACUUGGUGUCAGAGACAGAAAUGAGAAAAAGCUGAAAUGAGUGAGAAGGACGAUGAAGGAAACAUCUGUGCUGUGUCUGCUCUGUAAGUAGAAUCUCCUGCACUACAGAGCAGGUUUAUUAUACCCAGGGUAUGUUUCUGUUAUU